GACGAACGCUGGCGGCGUGCUUAACACAUGCAAGUCGAACGGUGAAGCGCCUUCCUUUUUGGUGGGUGUGGAUGAGUGGCGAACGGGUGAGUAACACGUGAGUAACCUGCCCCCUUCUUCUGGAUAACCGCAUGAAAGUGUGGCUAAUACGGGAUAUUCUGGGUCUGUCGCAUGAUGGGUCUGGGAAAGAUAUUGUUUCGGUGGGGGAUGGGCUCGCGGCCUAUCAGCUUGUUGGUGGGGUGAUGGCCUACCAAGGCGGUGACGGGUAGCCGGCCUGAGAGGGUGGACGGUCACACUGGGACGGAGACACGGACCAGACUCAUACGGGAGGCAGCAGUGGGGAAUAUUGCACAAUGGGCGCAAGCCUGAUGCAGCGACGCCGCGUGAGGGAUGGAGGCCUUCGGGUUGUGAACCUCUUUCGCCAGUGAAGCAGGCCUGCCUCGUUUGUGGGUGGGUUGACGGUAGCUGGAUAAGAAGCGCCGGCUAACUACGUG
rnacentral:rRNA from 1 species